ACAUGGAGGUGUUAGAAAUAACUCGUGAUGCAAUGAUGAAAUCUAAACCAAAAUCUGCACGCUCCACCAAAAUCUUGCACUCAACUCCAAAAUCCCAAGUGGCCCCCAAACCUGUUGCUUCUGUUUCAUAUGCCAAGAAGUCUUUGCCUCCAACAGUUGGGAAUACUUCAAAUUCAGAACCCAUAGAUAACAACAAGAGAAAAACAACGAAAACAAAUCCAUCAAGAAGCAAAGAUCAAGCAAUCAAACCAACAGCUGAUGAAGUCAGUGAUUUGGGUGUUAGUGCUCUACCAUCAUCUGAAAGCGAAGAAUCAGACUCUGGUAAUGAAGAAGUAGAUUGGUUGGCUCCAUCUCCUCCUCCUCGUACCCGCAACAAAAUCCCCCGGACUGAUGUAGUAAUUAUUAAAUCUGUGUUUAUAAUCACUGGCAUGCAUGAGUAAAGAUUUGUUUAUAUGUACAGGAUCGCUGUAUUGGUGGCAGUGCCUCAAGUAAUUGUUCCGUUCACUCGGCCGUUCAUCGCAAUCAAGUUAUUCUGACUCCUCCAGUAUCUCGGUGUAACACGCCAUCAUCUUUCCGAACUCCAAGUAGAGAAGAGUUUUCGAAAGACUUGCAAUCUUUGAAUAAUGAAGCAUCUCAUCUGGAUGAUAGUAAUUGCAAUGACGAAAACAGUCAGGAGGCUCAGAUCAUUGGACAGUCAAAUUCCCUUCAAGACAUUGAGGAAGAAAAUUCUUUUUUCAAAGAACAGUUGAAUCAAAGCUUGAUUGAUUACGAACAUAUGAAAGCUGAAUACGAAAGGAAACUACUUGAAAAGGACGAACUUAUAAAGAGUUUACGUGAUGAUAACCCAUUAGUACUAG